ACCCAAAGGGAGCUUGAAGAGUGGUAGCCAAAAAGAAAGGAGAGAAACACCUUGGGAUGAAGCUUUGAUUUGGUUGCAAUUUUUGGCUUUGUAAUCUUUCUUUUCUUUUUCUCUUUUAACUCAUGACCUUGUUAGGUGUCUUAGGGGAGUCUUUGGUUCUCAAUCCCAUCUCCUAACAAGAACCUUUAUCUCUUAGUAAAUUGUGUUUUUAGUUGGUUGGUUGAAGGAACCAAAGUUCUUCUAACUUAA
rnacentral:lncRNA from 1 species